GGCCUAUCGAUCCUUUAACUUUACAAGUUUUAAGCUAGAGGUGUCAGAAAAGUUACCACAGGGAUAACUGGCUUGUGGCAGCCAAGCGCCCAUAGCGACGUUGCUUUUUGAUCCUUCGAUGUCGGCUCUUCCUAUCAUUGUGAUGUACAAGUCACAACGUGUUGGAUUGUUCACCCGUUAAUAGGGAACGUGAGCUGGGUUUAGACCGUCGUGAGACAGGUUAGUUUUACCCCUACUGAUGAAUCGAUGUUGCGACAGUAAUCUUACUUAGUACGAAAGGAACCGUUAGAUCAGAUAAUUGGUUAAUACGGUUAGCUGAAAAGCUAAUGCCGUGAAGCUACCAUCUGUUGGAUUAUGACUGAAAGCCUCUAAGUCAGAAACCAUGCUGGAAAGCAACGUCCAAUCAAUAAUAAAUGAAAAAGAAUAAGGGAAACCUUUAGUUCAGUAAGGGAGCGGCGAAACUCGAAAGAGCAUAGCCUAACCAGAAUAAAUUUAAUAUUAUUGUAACAGAUCUUCUGUAGACG
rnacentral:rRNA from 1 species